rnacentral:rRNA from 1 species
UACGUAGGUGGCAAGCGUUAUCCGGAAUUAUUGGGUGUAAAGAGCGCGCAGGUGGUUGAUUAAGCCUGAUGUGAAAGCCCACGGCUUAACCGUGGAGGGUCAUUGGAAACUGGUCAACUUGAGUGCAGAAGAGGGAAGUGGAAUUCCAUGUGAAGCGGUGAAAUGCGUAGAGAUAUAGAGGACCACCAGUGGCGAAGGCGGCUACCUGGUCUUUAACUGACACUGAGGCGCGAAAGCGUGGGGAGCAAACAGG